AAGUAACUCCCCUGUUCUUGAGCAGGGUGCUACUCAACCCGUGUAUACCUUACCUUUGUUGCUUUGGCAAGCCGCUUUCGGGCGUUGGCUCCGGCUGACAGUGCUUGCCGAGGACCCAAACUCUUUUUUUUUAGUGAUGUCUGAGUACUAUAUAAUAAUAGUUA
rnacentral:misc_RNA from 1 species